UGCACCAUGCUGCCUGCCUCUGAUGAAUGGCUUCUCAAAGAGUUUAGAACUGGAUGUUACCGUGAAGAUUCCCUCAUUCCAUCAUCUUAUUUUACUAAGGAAGAACUGAGAUCAAAGUAAGGGAAGUGAUUUGCCCAAAGACACAUAGGAAAUGGAUAGCAGAAUGGAGAUUGGGACUCAUAAUCUCAGACUUCAAAUGUUUUGAAUCAUGCUACCUUCAAAACCAUUGAUCAUUUUCUUUGAGAUUUAUCUACACUGGGGAGAUUUCUAGGAUCUUCUUUUUGAAGAAGCAAGGUAGAAGAUACCAAUGUGAAGAUUUUCUCUUUUGUUUGGGGCCAGAUCCAUAUCAAUACUCUUAAAUGAUGGAAGUUGCCUAGAUCCCUAGCUUGGAAAGCUGAUACACAGAGAAUCAGACUAUUCAAAAGUGAAAGAAAGCUCAGAGCCAUCUAGCACCAUCUAUACUUGAGUUAUAAUCUCCUGCACAACAAACCCAACAAGUGGCUAUCCAGUCUUUUCUUGGAGGACUGGAGGGAGGGGAAACCCACUAUCUCCUAAGGUCACUCGCCAGAGACAAUUUCUGCUACAAUAACAGUGCCCUGAGGUCCUCCUGUGUUGACCAGAGCUCCAAGAAAGUUCUAUUUCAAUCUUCCACCUUGAAAACUGAGGUUGCAAUGGAAACAAUAGAGACUUCCCAGUUAAUUCAACCCAAUGAAAGACUCUAGAGAAUGCAUUGUGAGCUACCUUCUUUAUGAGCUCAAGAGCAUCCAAGCAUUCUCCCUGGGGACAUGGAAGAACACUGAUUUUGGGAACCAGCCCAAUGACUGAGGUAGCAGCCCUUUCCUCACCAUCUGUGGGCAGAACAGAAUCACUGGCUCUUGUGGGGAUAUAUUGUCUACUUCUUGGACACAGGUUUGGAAAAUAGGACUUUGCUGACAAAGUCAAAUCUGACUUCUCAGAGGUGAAGAAGUUACAGUCUUAGUGGCUGUUUUCCUCCCAUUUUGCUUGAUUUUUUAACCUUAUAGUCCUACAUUUUCCUCCUUUUUAUAAUUUUAGCUUUUGGAAACUAUUGUUCUGAAAGGACACAGUUUGGCAUGGUGGGAAGAGAGUUUAUUUGGACAUGAAACAGCUAAGUUCAAAUUCCAGUCUGGCAUUUUAAUGUCUUUAAGACUUUGGGCAAUUUCUUCAUCUAUAACUAAAGAGAGUAGACUAAAUCACCGUAAGAUCUUUUCCAGCGCCAAAUCUCUGGUUUCAAUUCAAUAAAUAUCGACUGAGCACCUACUAGAGUAGAAGGAUAUAAAAAUUAAUCAUUCAA